UACGGAGGGUGCAAGCGUUAUCCGGAUUCACUGGGUUUAAAGGGUGCGUAGGUGGGUUGGUAAGUCCGUGGUGAAAUCUCCGAGCUUAACUCGGAAACUGCCGUGGAUACUAUCAAUCUUGAAUACUGUGGAGGUAAGCGGAAUAUGUCAUGUAGCGGUGAAAUGCUUAGAUAUGACAUAGAACACCAAUUGCGAAGGCAGCUCACUACACAAUCAUUGACUCUGAGGCACGAAAGCGUGGGGAUCAAACAGG
rnacentral:rRNA from 1 species